rnacentral:rRNA from 1 species
UACAUAGGGGGCAAGCGUUGUCCGGAUUUAUUGGGCGUAAAGAGCGUGUAGGCGGCCAGGUAGGUCUGCUGUGAAAACUCGAGGCUUAACCUCGAGCUGUCGGCGGAAACUAUCUGGCUAGAGUCCGGAAGAGGAGAAUGGAAUUCCCGGUGUAGCGGUGAAAUGCGCAGAUAUCGGGAAGAACACCCGUGGCGAAGGCGGUUCUCUGGGACGGUACUGACGCUGAGACGCGAAAGCGUGGGGAGCGAACAGG